GUAGGGAAUCUUGCGCAAUGGGCGAAAGCCUGACGCAGCGACGCCGCGUGGGGGAUGAAGGCCUUCGGGUUGUAAACCCCUUUCAUGAGGGAAGAACACUGACUUAACCUCAAGAAGAAGCACCGGCUAACUCCGUGCCAGCAGCUGCGGUAAUACGGAGAGUGCGAACGUUGUUCGGAUUUACUGGGCGUAAAGGGCACGUAGGCGGCCCGGCAAAUCAGUCGUGGAAUUCCGCCGCUCACCGGCGGAACGGCGGCUGAAAAUACCGGGCUAGAGGGCGUGAGGGGUCGCUGGAACUCCUGGUGAAGCGGUGAAAUGCGUAGAUAUCAGGAGGAACGCCGGAGGCGAAAGCGAGCGACUGGCGCGUUCCUGACGCUGAGGUGCGAAAGCCAGGGGAGCAAACAGGAUUAGAAACCCCAGUAGUCC
rnacentral:rRNA from 1 species